rnacentral:tRNA from 1 species
GGAAGGCACCGCUGAAUGGUCGGCAACCGGUCUAGAAAACCGGGGCGCGGUGACGAGCCGUGGGCGUUCGAUUCGUCUGCCUUCCG